rnacentral:rRNA from 1 species
UCGAACGGAACUUACUUAGCUUGCUUUGUAAGUUUAGUGGCGGACGGGUGAGUAACACGUGAGCAACCUGCCCAGAAGAAAGGGAUAGCUCGGGGAAACUCGAAUUAAUACCAUAUGUGAUCCUGUGAAGCAUUUCGCGGGAAUGAAAGAUGCCUUCGGGUGUCACUUCUGGAUGGGCUCGCGGCCUAUCAGUUAGUUGGUGAGGUAACGGCUCACCAAGGCAAUGACGGGUGGCUGGUCUGAGAGGACGACCAGUCACACUGGAACUGAGACACGGUCCAGACACCUACGGGUGGCAGCAGUCGAGAAUCAUUCGCAAUGGGGGAAACCCUGACGGUGCGACGCCGCGUGGAGGAUGACGGUCUUCGGAUUGUAAACUCCUGUCAUCGAAGAGUAAGGCUUAUGUAUUAAUAGUAUGUAAGAUUGAUAGUAUUCGAAGAGGAAGGGACGGCUAACUUCGUGCCAGCAGCCGCGGUAAUACGAAGGUCCCAAGCGUUGUUCGGAAUCACUGGGCGUAAAGGGAGCGUAGGCGGUGAGGUAAGUCAGAUGUGAAAUUCCAGGGCUCAACCCUGGAACUGCAUCCGAUACUGCCUUACUAGAGUAGUGGAGGGGCAUCUGGAAUUCACGGUGUAGCAGUGAAAUGCGUAGAGAUCGUGAGGAACACUAGUGGCGAAGGCGAGAUGCUGGACACUUACUGACGCUGAGGCUCGAAGGCCAGGGUAGCGAAAGGGAUUAGAUACCCCUGUAGUCCUGGCAGUAAACGGUGCACGUUUGGUGUGAGAAGGUUCGACCCUUUUCGUGCCGGAGUUAACGCGUUAAACGUGCCGCCUGGGGAGUACGGUCGCAAGACUAAAACUCAAAGAAAUUGACGGGGACCCGCACAAGCGGUGGAGUAUGUGGCUUAAUUCGAUGCAACGCGAAGAACCUUACCUAGGCUUGACAUGCAUCUCUAAACCGGUGAAAGCCGGGGAGCGGAGCAAUCCGUAAUUUGCACAGGUGCUGCAUGGCUGUCGUCAGCUCGUGUCGUGAGAUGUUUGGCUAAGUCCAGCAACGAGCGCAACCC